UACGGAGGGCGCGAGAGUUGUUCGGAAUCAUUGGGCGUAAAGCGCGUGUAGGCGGCUUGGUAAGUAGAGUGUGAAAGCCCGGGGCUCAACCCCGGAAGGUCGCUCGAAACUGCCUGGCUAGAGUCCCGGAGAGGAAGGCGGAAUUCCCGGUGUAGAGGUGAAAUUCGUAGAUAUCGGGAGGAACACCAGCGGCGAAGGCGGCCUUCUGGACGGUGACUGACGCUGAGAAGCGAAAGCGUGGGGAGCAAACAGG
rnacentral:rRNA from 1 species